CACCAAGUGCGAUGCAUUUCGAUCAAUUAUAUAACGGAACCUGAUACAUCAAAACACCAGUGACCAGGUACUUUAAUUGAGAUCUUGAGAGGACGGAAGACUUGUACUACUUAUUGGUAAUUAAGGCUGUACGAUAUUUCGGUGCAACAGUUUCUAAUUUUAUACGCUCUCCGAUUUUCAGUUUUUCGGUAUUUCUGGAUUCUACCGGUAAUUUGUUACUUUAUAGGUAUUUCGAUAUUUAUCGACAGAACAAUAUUUCGGUAAUAGACAAUAUGUGCGGUAUUUCGGUGAACCGGAAAUACAAAAUCGAUACAGAAAAUCCGUAUCAAAUUUUCGAUACCGCACAGACUUACUGGCAGCUAGAAGUGCUGUUUU